rnacentral:rRNA from 1 species
GAUGAACGCUGGCGGCGUGCCUAAUACAUGCAAGUCGAACGCGAGAGGAGGGAGCUUGCUCCCUCUGAUCGAGUGGCGGACGGGUGAGUAACACGUAGGCAACCUGCCCAUCAGCCGGGGAUAACUGCGGGAAACCGUGGCUAAUACCGGAUAAUCCUCCCCGCCGCGGGGUGGGGAGUUGAAAGACCGUUUCGGCUGUCGCUGAUGGAUGGGCCUGCGGCGCAUUAGCUGGUUGGCGGGGUAACGGCCAACCAAGGCAACGAUGCGUAGCCGACCUGAGAGGGUGAUCGGCCACACUGGGACUGAGACACGGCCCAGACUCCUACGGGAGGCAGCAGUAGGGAAUCUUCCGCAAUGGACGCAAGUCUGACGGAGCAACGCCGCGUGAGUGAAGAAGGGUUUCGGCUCGUAAAACUCUGUUGUUAAGGAAGAACGCCAGGUAGAGUAACUGCUACCUGUGUGACGGUACUUAACCAGAAAGCCACGGCUAACUACGUGCCAGCCGCCGCCGUAA